rnacentral:rRNA from 1 species
AUGCCGCCGUUGCAUAUGCUGAUUGUAGGAUUGCUGCAUGCUUGUGUCUUCUGCUACUUAUACACAGACCUAGUCGUGUUGAGCAGUUGUUUGGCACUAGUGCGUGGUGUUUCCUGCUUUCAGCCGUCAGCAUCAUUGGCUGAGCGGAAAUAAUCCUUGGAUGCUAAUUGGUUCGCUAUGCGAAUUGGUUGCUUCCUUGCGA